AAAGAGAAACAAGAAAAUUCAAAGGGAAAUUCACGUUUUUCGCCCGUUUAUGCGUCUAACGGUAAGAUUUUUUGAUUUUAGCUUGAUUUCUACCUUUCCUAUGCCUUUAUUUCCAUUUAGCAUGCUUGAGGAGAGAGAUCAAAAAGUAAUAUCAAGGGCUGGAUGAAAUUCUAGGGGAGAGAAAUUGGAAUUUUUAGGUUUUGAUUUUUAGUUAAAUUGAUAGUUUUAGUUAGUUAAAUGUGUUUAGAAAUUAAAUUGGGCAAGAAAUCAUUAAAUUUUCACAAUACCCACCCUUGACUGGAUGCUCAAUGCUGUACAAUGAUGAUGAAUUGAUUUUAUUCUAAGGAAAAUGAAGAGAAAAUGAUGAAAAACGAUUAAACGUGAUAGAAAAACAAAGUAGAAAAUUAACCGAGUUAAUGUCCCAUUUUUGGCCGAAUUUUCCAAGGAAGGGAGUGAGCUGAUUUUGUUGUUUUUAGAAGGUUAUUGGCUGAUAUUUAAUGGUUAGAAAUGUUGGAGAGAGAAUGGGAUGAUUUAGAGCUAAAAUGGAGCGCGUUAGCAAUUUAUCGGGCAAAGUGCCAAAAAUAGGUUAAUACCGCGUUUAAGCCGUUUUAGGCUAUUGCAUUUCAUACCAUGCAUUAGUAUAGGAUUUAAGUUAAUUAUAUAGUGAUUUAGCAUCAAUGUGAUGAAUUGUGUAAAUUUUUGUAAUGUGUCUAGGAGGAGAGCCUUCCGGAAAAGGCAAAGAAGUCGUACCCGACGAGUAGUGAUCGGGGCGCUUAGAAAGCUUUUAGUUUGUACAAACGGUGAGUAAACUUAUUAUUAUUGUAAAUUAUCUAGAGUUUAUUUUUAAAUGCCCUUUAUGUAUUUUAUGAAAUGAAAACGAGAUUAAAACGGGAUUUUUUAUGUUUUAGGAAUAAAUGUGACAAAUAAAAAUAUAUUGUAUUGAUUAUGAAAUUGAGUAAUUGGAGGCUGCAAAUUGACUUGAAAAAUAUAUAUUUUCCUAGGAAUGGCUUAUGAGAAAUGAGUAUAUGUGGCUAUAUUUUGUGAGUGCAUUGGGAAAUUUAUGUAAGUUGUUUUUACUAUGCAGGCUGGAUAAAUAAAUAAAAGCCACGUUAUACUGUCGAAAUUUUAUUAAAAUUGGUGGGUUAGUCACUGCAGUGACGGGUUUCCGUGGACUGCCUAUUAGAGGGGCACGGUAAACCCAGUUAUAUAGUUACUCCGGUUGUAGAGGCGAGGAGGGUAACUCCCGGGGUAGUAUUAGAGCUCACUUCACGUCGAACCCCCACGUGAAUGUGUAACUCGGCCAACGCCAAGGAACGGCUGGUUUUAAAAAUAAAAAUGUGUUUCACGUGUGAAUAUUUUAACACCCUUGGCGGACUCGGUUAGAUGCCUCGGCCAAGGUAUCCCCGAGGAUUAGUUUUGGCUUGAGCCUUGUUUUAAUAAAAGACAUAAGCCUUAACAACUGUUUUGGUAAAUUACAAAUAUUUUAUGGUUUAAGAAAUAAAUUGAAAACAUUAUGAAAUGGGUUGAAAUUUGUUGUUUAAACUUGCCUCCAUUUUACUCGCCUUUAGAUAUUUAUGAUAAUGUCUGUUUACUCAUUGGGAUUGCAAAAUCUCACCCAACUCCUUUCCACCCAUUUCAGGUUCAGUAUAGACUGUAGAUAGCUGAUCUCAUCGAGGACUACCAUUGGAUCUGCAUUUUCCAAACCGUAGGUUCACAGUCCUCUUUACUUUUGUU
rnacentral:lncRNA from 1 species